UGUGGCCGAGGGACCGGACGCGCUCUCUCUUGGACCUUCCUGCUGGGACACCCACCUGGCACCAUCUCUCCCCCCGCUCUCCCUGGGCCUGCCACGAGUUGCGGCUAGCAACUCUAAGCAAGGCCCUUCAUCCUUUACAAUAAACCCUAUGCUCUAAAGACCGGGCCUCAGAGAUCCUUCGUUACCACCCACCCACACCGUCCUGGAGUCCAGCCAUCCCCGCAGAUUGGCGCCCAACGAGGAAGACCGACCCCCACAGACCGGCAACCCCACGUGUCUGAAGACCUCUUCAGCUUUUCUACCUGUGGGAGACUUCUCCAUGGACGCUCUGAGUGGAGUCUGGAGGCCCCGAGCACGGAAAGACGUUCCUGAGCGACGCCUGAAACCGGAGCUCUGAGGGGGACCUCAAGCAGAGUCCUGAGCGCCGACUGGAGUGCCUGGCCAGCCCCCCACGUCGGAGUUCUGAGUGAGGACCCUGCCCCUGCGAUAUCGAGGUGAGCUACACUGGUGUAAAAAUGGGACAAUCCCACUCUGCCCCUGAUCGGGAUCUCUAUAAGGAACUUAAGCAUUCUUUACGCUGCAGUAACAGUACUUUACCUAAGCAAGAGCUUAAAAACCUUUUAGAAUGGACUUUA